AUAAUAAAUAUAAAUAGCUAUCAAUGCUAGCUUUUACCAUGAUCAUUAACAGUACAUUGAAUAUCAUUAAGGCACAGAUAUACAUACACAUACUCUUGACCAUAGCCAGCCACGUCUUCUGUGAAGGAUUUCUGAGUCAGGCCAUAUCUCUGGGACUCAGUGUAGACAAAAAAUUGCCUCAAUUUAAUGGAAUUCAACAAAAAGAUCCUUUCUCAAAUCCCAAAUCCACUUCCAGCCUCCCAAACUAAUCCUGGAUUCUUUUCCUGGAGAAGCUAUUCUCAGGUGUUUGAAGAGCUGUCAUGAGGAGGAGAGACCUGGCCCUAAAGAUAGAAUGAGUCGCAACAGGUGACAACUGUAAAGAGGAAUGAAAGGACAGACAUCUGCAAUUAGAACUACUCCAAACGGACGUCCUCAGUUGGUGGCAGGUUCCCUAUGCUUUUGAGGGGCAACGUGGGCCGGUGCCAGAAGAUGGGCUCAUCGAGGGAAUCUGGGCCAGUCACUCGGAGUUCAGCACUCCAGGAGGACACUCAGAGUCUAUGGCUGUCUUUCUCCAGCUCACCCCACAGCCAGUGAAUGGCAAAGACCCUAAUGGGAAUCUUCCUGGCAAUCAGCCUAGCCCUUUGUCUACUUCUGCCAGCUGGUCCCCCAACCUCCCAAGCCCCGAGAGAUCUGGAACAUGGAAACGGGGGUGGGUGGCUGACGAGCCCCGGAGGGGAGACAGAAGGGAGCUGACACGCAUUUUCCACCCCAGACCAGGUUCUCCACUCCCCUGCUCCCAGCUCCCUCCCAGGCCCUCUCAAC